UCAAGGCUCAUGAGCAUGAGCCUGGAUCAAGACGUGAGUCUUACCGCUCAUUCACUCUGGAGGCGGAUCCGCGUUCGCAAAGCGGUUGCGAACGCGGUUGUAGUAUAAAGAUCCAGUACAAUUGCACGCGCACUUGAUGCCAUCGAGUGCGCGUGCAGUUGUACUGGAUCUUUAUACAACCGCGUUCGCAACCGUUUUGCGAACGGAUAUCCGCUU
rnacentral:SRP_RNA from 1 species